CCACGCUGAAAGCUUGAUGAGGGAGGAGGAAGACCAAACCCUCACUCAAUAAUUCAACCUCACAUAUUUUUUGAUCCGUAGCUCCGAUUGACGAGUAAUCAGUAGCCACAUGUUCGUCUCGAAAUUCUCUACAAAAUUUACCCCAUAAAUUGGUUCGAAUUAGCUUCGUGGACUUGCCGGGUCUUGUCCAAUUUUGUGUUGUUUGGAUUGUGUACUUUGGAAACAAAUUGGUGGUGUUGGAGAAUUGGUAUUGGACUCUGGGGAGUCGGAGACCUAUUUGGUGAGUUUUUGGAAACUUGGGUAUCAUGGAACGAUAACAAAUUAUGACGUUCUGGGUUUUACGAGGAAUCAGCCAAGGGAAAAAUAAAUGGGAACCCGUUACGAGGACGCCAGACGGGUGGCAAUUUGCUAAACGCCGCCUCCAUGAUAUCCAUUGCCAUCUCUACUCGUGAGGUAAUCUUUCUUCAUUAUUCCUACUAUCUAAGUCCCAAACCAUAAAUAUCAUACCACAAAUUUAGAAUCCUAUUCGAUUUCAAUCUCAUGACAAAAAGUGCCAUCGUCCUUUGGUGUCACUCCACCACCACCAUUCUAACUUUCUUCCACUUGUUUCCUUUGGUGUAUAUUGUGAAUUGAACUAAUAAGGGGUAAAUGGAUA